AUUGAACGCUGGCGGCAGGCCUAACACAUGCAAGUCGAGCGGAUGAAGGGAGCCUGCUCCUGGAUUCAGCGGCGGACGGGUGAGUAAUGCCUAGGAAUCUGCCUGGUAGUGGGGGAUAACGUCCGGAAACGGGCGCUAAUACCGCAUACGUCCUGAGGGAGAAAGUGGGGGAUCUUCGGACCUCACGCUAUAAGAUGAGCCUAGGUCGGAUUAGCUAGUUGGUGGGGUAAAGGCCUACCAAGGCGACGAUCCGUAACUGGUCUGAGAGGAUGAUCAGUCACACUGGAACUGAGACACGGUCCAGACUCCUACGGGAGGCAGCAGUGGAGAAUAUUGGACAAUGGGCGAAAGCCUGAUCCAGCCAUGCCGCGUGUGUGAAGAAGGUCUUCGGAUUGUAAAGCACUUUAAGUUGGGAGGAAGGGCAGUAAGUUAAUACCUUGCUGUUUUGACGUUACCAACAGAAUAAGCACCGGCUAACUUCGUG
rnacentral:rRNA from 1 species